CUUAGCAUAGGGACAGGUAGAUAGCGUCAUUGUCAGUCCGUAUGGUUUUUUUUUCCUGUUUUGAAAAGGGUUGUUUUGAUCCAUUUUAAAUCUGCGCUUCAAUUUUAGAAUUGAGCAUUGAGUUGGACUGUUGUUUUGCUUAAGACUGGCAGGCUGCUGUGUAUUCUUAAUGCCUGGUAAGGGUCGAUCGGUACAUUUUACGAAGCCAACUGUGAGGGUAAGCUAAGACCACAGUCCUGAGGUCUGCCCUGUUCUGGGGCCUUGCGUAAUGAGACCUGAUUACCGUUAAGGACCUGAUUGCCCAGGGAGCGGUGCAGAAGUGAGGGAGAACCUGGCCUGGAAUCCAUCCCGAGCCACCCCUUCCCUCAUUCCAGGACUGCAGUUCCUAGUUGGAAGAACCGUGUUCGCGCAGCGUUUGGGGAACUCGAGCCGUGUUAGAAGACAACACAAGACCAACCUGCACGUUGUGGGUAUACAGACCAGAAUUGCUUCUGCUAUAGAGAACACUUUAAGAAAGGAAGCCUUCCCAAGAUCUCUGCCUCCCAUCCAUAAAAUACUCACUCAUCAUUCAGACCCAUUUAACCACAGAGGAGCUGAGGAAGUGAAUGAGCAGUGGUCAGAGAAAUGUGACUUCCUCCGCCUGUGGAGGGAGUAAGAGCUCAAUACUGUCGCAUGGGGUUGGAAAAAGGUCAGGAAA